rnacentral:snoRNA from 1 species
AACAAUGUCUUAUAGACGCCCAGAGUCACGGUUCGCCUGGUUACUUGUAACCAGUGGGCGUAUACUUUGUACAGCGGUGGCAACACCGCUGCCGUGCUCGCGGCUGAUCUUAGAUUAAUUUGGGUUAGGGAUUCCCUUCCGUGUGAUUUCACCCCAAGUGAUGCACACCAGGUAUCUCGCACCUACAUAU